rnacentral:rRNA from 1 species
CUACGCACUCCUACGGGAGGCAGCAGUGGGGGAAUAUUGCACAAUGGGCGCAAGCCUGAUGCAGCCAUGCCGCGUGUAUGAAGAAGGCCUUCGGGUUGUAAAGUACUUUCAGCAGUGAGGAAGGUGGAUAUGUUAAUAGCAUAUUCAUUUGACGUUAGCUGCAGAAGAAGCACCGGCUAACUCCGUGCCAGCAGCCGCGGUAAUACGGAGGGUGCGAGCGUUAAUCGGAAUUACUGGGCGUAAAGCGCAUGCAGGUGGUUUGUUAAGUCAGAUGUGAAAGCCCGGGGCUCAACCUCGGAAUUGCAUUUGAAACUGGCAAACUAGAGUACUGUAGAGGGGGUAGAAUUUCAGGUGUAGCGGUGAAAUGCGUAGAGAUCUGAAGGAAUACCGGUGGCGAAGGCGGCCCCCCUGGACAGAUACUGACACUCAGAUGCGAAAGCGUGGGGAGCAAACAGGAUUAGACUACCCUGGUAG